UUCCGUAGGUGAACCUGCGGAGGGAUCAUUACCGAGUUAUACAACUCAUCAACCCUGUGAACAUACCUAAAACGUUGCUUCGGCGGGAACAGACGGCCCUGUAACAACGGGCCGCCCCCGCCAGAGGACCCCUAACUCUGUUUUUAUAAUGUUUUUCUGAGUAAACAAGCAAAUAAAUUAAAACUUUCAACAACGGAUCUCUUGGCUCUGGCAUCGAUGAAGAACGCAGCGAAAUGCGAUAAGUAAUGUGAAUUGCAGAAUUCAGUGAAUCAUCGAAUCUUUGAACGCACAUUGCGCCCGCCAGUAUUCUGGCGGGCAUGCCUGUUCGAGCGUCAUUACAACCCUCAGGCCCCCGGGCCUGGCGUUGGGGAUCGGCGGAAGCCCCCUGUGGGCACACGCCGUCCCUCAAAUACAGUGGCGGUCCCGCCGCAGCUUCCAUUGCGUAGUAGCUAACACCUCGCAACUGGAGAGCGGCGCGGCCAUGCCGUAAAACACCCAACUUCUGAAUGUUGACCUCGAAUCAGGUAGGAAUACCCGCUGAACUUAAGCAUAACAAUAGCGGAGGAA
rnacentral:rRNA from 1 species